CGUCUAUAUACGUAUAGCAUAUCAAUAAGCGGAGGAAAAGAAACUAACUAGGAUUCCCUUAGUAACGGCGAGUGAAGCGGGAAGAGCUCAAAUUUGAAAUCUUCAAGGUUCUACCUUGACGAAUUGUAGUUUAAAGAAGUGUUUUCUGUUGGAGUUUUGGUAAAAGUUCUUUGGAAUAGGACAUCAUAGAGGGUGAGAAUCCCGUAUUUGACCAUUAUUUCCAACUUUGUGAUACACUUUCAAAGAGUCGGAUUGUUUGGGAAUGCAGUCCAAAAUGGGUGGUAAAUUUCAUCUAAAGCUAAAUACUGGCGAGAGACCGAUAGCGAACAAGUACCGUGAGGGAAAGAUGAAAAGAACUUUGAAAAGAGAGUUAAACAGUACGUGAAAUUGUCAAAAGGGAAGCGUUUGACACCAGUGUUGUUUUCUCGAAAAUCAAUUAAAAAUGGUGGGAUGUUGUGUUGUAUUGACUUUAUCAGCUUUCUGCACUUUUUUUCCUAUCUUUUUUAAUGCACUUUUCGUUUAACAAGUCAACAUCAAUUUCUUUUGUUGUAAAAGAGUCAUUGGAAGGUGGCUUUCUUUUCGGAGAAAGUGUUUAUAGCCUUUGGCUUCUGCAAUCGGAGAGAUUGAGGUCUGCAGCGUAGAUCCUUCGGGGUUAGAUGCAUUUGUGCUAAGUUAUAGCCUUUCAUAGACAACUUGUUGACUAUGAUCAGUCAUGUAGCUUACUCGCUGAUGUCAUUUUACCUACGCUUAGGAUGUUGAUAUGCAUGACUGAUAU
rnacentral:rRNA from 1 species